rnacentral:rRNA from 1 species
CCUACGGGAGGCAGCAGUGGGGAAUAUUGGACAAUGGGGGCAACCCUGAUCCAGCCAUGCCGCGUGUGUGAAGAAGGCCCUCGGGCUGUAAAGCACUUUCAGUGAGGAAGAACGCCUGGUGGUUAAUACCCAUCAGGAAAGACAUCACUCACAGAAGAAGCACCGGCUAACUCCGUGCCAGCAGCCGCGGUAAUACGGAGGGUGCGAGCGUUAAUCGGAAUUACUGGGCGUAAAGCGCGCGUAGGUGGCUUGAUAAGCCGGUUGUGAAAGCCCCGGGCUCAACCUGGGAACGGCAUCCGGAACUGUCAAGCUAGAGUGCAGGAGAGGAAGGUAGAAUUCCCGGUGUAGCGGUGAAAUGCGUAGAGAUCGGGAGGAAUACCAGUGGCGAAGGCGGCCUUCUGGACUGACACUGACACUGAGGUGCGAAAGCGUGGGUAGCAAACAGGAUUAGAUACCCUUGUAGUC